rnacentral:lncRNA from 1 species
AGCAUAAACACAGGUAGCUAUUAUUGCAUAAAUAAUUUAACACUUUGGAAAACAUGAAUCGCAAGAACAUCGGCUUGAUAAACAAAAUAACACCUUCU